AGCGAACGCUGGCGGCGUGCCUAACACAUGCAAGUCGAACGUGAAAAGGGAAACCUGAGUAAAGUGGCGUACGGGUGAGUCACGCGUAGGUAAUCUACCCCAGAAUCUGGAAUAACCCGCCGAAAGGCGGGCUAAUACUGGAUAGAGCGAGGGAACUCGUAAGAGAGUUUUUCGGGAAAGGGAGCCCGCAAGGGCCUUCGUUCUGGGAUGAGCCUGCGUCUCAUUAGCUAGUUGGUAAGGUAACGGCUUACCAAGGCGAUGAUGAGUAGCUGGUCUGAGAGGAUGAUCAGCCACACUGGAACUGAAACACGGUCCAGACUCCUACGGGAGGCAGCAGUGGGGAAUCUUGCGCAAUGGACGAAAGUCUGACGCAGCCACGCCGCGUGAGUGAAGAAGGCCUUCGGGUUGUAAAGCUCUGUCGGAUGGGACGAACAUCUUCAUAGUGAAUAGCUAUGAGGACUGACGGUACCAUCAAAGGAAGCACCGGCUAACUCCGUG
rnacentral:rRNA from 1 species